rnacentral:rRNA from 1 species
GAGUUUGAUCAUGGCUCAGAACGAACGCUGGCGGCAGGCCUAACACAUGCAAGUCGAGCGCGCCUUCGGGUGAGCGGCGGACGGGUUAGUAACGCGUGGGAACGUGCCCUUCUCUACGGAAUAGCCUCUGGAAACGGAGAGUAAUACCGUAUACGCCCUUUGGGGGAAAGAUUUAUCGGAGAAGGAUCGGCCCGCGUUAGAUUAGGUAGUUGGUGGGGUAACGGCCUACCAAGCCUACGAUCUAUAGCUGGUUUUAGAGGAUGAUCAGCAACACUGGGACUGAGACACGGCCCAGACUCCUACGGGAGGCAGCAGUGGGGAAUCUUAGACAAUGGGGGCAACCCUGAUCUAGCCAUGCCGCGUGAGUGAUGAAGGCCUUAGGGUCGUAAAGCUCUUUCGCCUGUGAUGAUAAUGACAGUAGCAGGUAAAGAAACCCCGGCUAACUCCGUGCCAGCAGCCGCGGUAAUACGGAGGGGGUUAGCGUUGUUCGGAAUUACUGGGCGUAAAGCGCGCGUAGGCGGAUUAGAAAGUUGGGGGUGAAAUCCCGGGGCUCAACCUCGGAACUGCCUCCAAAACUGCUAGUCUAGAGUUCGAGAGAGGUGAGUGGAAUUCCGAGUGUAGAGGUGAAAUUCGUAGAUAUUCGGAGGAACACCAGUGGCGAAGGCGGCUCACUGGCUCGAUACUGACGCUGAGGUGCGAAAGUGUGGGGAGCAAACAGGAUUAGAUACCCUGGUAGUCCACACCGUAAACGAUGAAUGCCAGUCGUCGGGUAGUAUACUAUUCG